rnacentral:pre_miRNA from 14 species
AGAAGCUCCACUCCGUCUGCCCAGUGUUCAGACUACCUGUUCAGGACUACAAGAUUGUACAGUAGUCUGCACAUUGGUUAGGCUGUGCUGGGAUACACC